rnacentral:rRNA from 1 species
UCAGGAGGAACACNGAUGGCGAAGGCAGGUCUCUGGNCAGUAACUGACGCUGAGGAGCGAAAGCAUGGGGAGCGAACAGGAUUAGAUACCCUGGUAGUCCAUGCUGUAAACGGUGGGCGUUAGGUGUGGGGACCGGUUUGGUUUCUGUGCCGUAGCUAACGCAUUAAGCGCCCCGCCUGGGGAGUACGGCCGCAAGGCUAAAACUCAAAGGAAUUGACGGGGGCCCGCACAAGCGGCGGAGCAUGUGGAUUAAUUCGAUGCAACGCGAAGAACCUUACCUGGGUUUGACAUGCACCAGACGGUUGUAGAGAUACGUACCUCCCUUUGUGGUUGGUGUGCAGGUGGUGCAUGGUUGUCGUCAGCUCGUGUCGUGAGAUGUUGGGUUAAGUCCCGCAACGAGCGCAACCCUUGUCUUAUGUUGCCAGCACUUUGGGUGGGGACUCAUGAGAGACUGCCGGGGUUAACUCGGAGGAAGGUGGGGAUGACGUCAAAUCAUCGUGCCCUUUAUGCCCAGGGCUUCACACAUGCUACAAUGGUUAGUACAACGCGCUGCAAGCCUGUGAGGGUGAGCGAAUCGCUGAAAGCUAAUCUCAGUUCGGAUUGGGGUCUGCAACUCGACCCCAUGAAGUCGGAGUCGCUAGUAAUCGCAGAUCAGCAAUGCUGCGGUGAAUACGUUCCCGGGCCUUGUACACACCGCCCGUCACGUCAUGAAAGUUGGUAACACCCGAAGCCCAUGGCCUAACCACCAUUUUUGGUGGGGG